AGUUUGAUCAUGGCUCAGAUUGAACGCUGGCGGGAUGUGCUUUACACAUGCAAGUCGAACGGCAGCACGGACUUCGGUCUGGUGGCGAGUGGCGAACGGGUGAGUAAUGUAUCGGAACGUGCCUAGUAGCGGGGAUAACUACGCGAAAGGUAGCCAAUACCGCAUACGCCCUUCUGGGAAAGCGGGGACCCUUCGGCCUCGCACUAUUAGGAGCGGCCGAUAUCGGAUUAGCUAGCUGGUGGGGUAACGGCUCACUACAGUACGAUCCGUAGCUGGUUUGAGAGGACGACCAGCCACACUGGGACUGAGACACGGCCCAGACUCCUACGGAGGCAGCAGUGGGGAAUUUUUGACAAUGGGGAAACCCUGAUCCAGCCAUCAUCCUGCGUGUGAAGAUGAAGGCCUUCGGGUUGUAAAGCACUUUUGGCAGGAAAGAAACGGCACGGAUAAUACCCCGUGCAACUGACGGUACCCAGAAUAAGCACCGGCUAACUACGUGCCAGCAGCCGCGGUAAUACGUAGGGUGCAAGCUGCCAAUCGGAAUUACUGGGGCGGUAAAGCAGCAGGCGGUUCGGAAAGAAAGAUGUGAAACCUGUUUGUUUAACUUUGGAACUGCAUUUUGACCAUUGAGCCAGAGUGUGUCAGAGGGAGGUGGACUCCAUGUAGCAGUGAAAUGCGUAGAUAUGCGGAGGAACACCGAUGGCGAAGGCAGCCUCCUGGGAUAACACUGACGCUCUAUGCACGAAAGCGUGGGGAGCAAACAGGAUUAGAUACUUGGUAGUUCACGCCCUAAACGAUAUGUCGGACCAGCUGUUGGCUUAGCCUUGGUAGCGCAGCUAACGCGUGAAGUUGACCGCCUGGGGAGUACGGUUUAAGCUUUAGACUUGGUAGACACGACGGAUGUUAGUGAUGAUGUGGAUUAUCUGAUGCAACGCGAAAACCUUACCUACCUCCUGAUAUGUUCGACGAAGAGAUUUGUAGAGUGCUCGCAAGAGAACCGAACACAGGUGCCGCAUGGCUGUCGUCACUCGUGUCGUGAGAUGUUGCUGAGUCCCGCAACGAGCGCAACCUUGUCAUUAAGCUGUUACGAAAGGGCACUCUAAUGAGACUGCCGGUGACAAACCGAGGAAGGUGGGGAUGACGUCAAGUCCUCAUGGCUCCCAUGGGUAGGGCUUCAUUAUCGUCAUACAAUGGUCGGGACAGAGGGUCGCCAACCCGCGAGGGGGAGCCAAUCCCAGAAACCCGAUCAGUCCGGAUCAUAUCUGCAACCUCGACUGCGUGAAGUCGGAAUCGCUAGUAAUCGCGGAUCAGCAUGUCGCGGUGAAUACGUUCCCGGGUCUUGUACACACCGCCCGUCACACCAUGGGGAGGGGUUUACCAGAAGUAGUUAGGCCUAACCGUAAGGAGGGGCGACACACGGUAGGAUUCAUGACUGGGAGGAAGUCGCACAAGGUAA
rnacentral:rRNA from 1 species